rnacentral:rRNA from 1 species
GACGAACGCUGGCGGCGUGCUUAACACAUGCAAGUCGAACGGAAAGGCCCUGCUUUUGUGGGGUGCUCGAGUGGCGAACGGGUGAGUAACACGUGAGUAACCUGCCCUUGACUUUGGGAUAACUUCAGGAAACUGGGGCUAAUACCAGAUAGGAGCUCCUGCUGCAUGGUGGGGGUUGGAAAGUUUCGGCGGUUGGGGCUGGACUCGCGGCUUAUCAGCUUGUUGGUGGGGUAGUGGCUUACCAAGGCUUUGACGGGUAGCCGGCCUGAGAGGGUGACCGGCGACAUUGGGACUGAGAUACGGCCCAGACUCCUACGGGAGGCAGCAGGGGGGAAUAUUGCACAAUGGGCGGAAGCCUGAUGCAGCAACGCCGCGUGCGGGAUGACGGCCUUCGGGUUGUAAACCGCUUUCGCCUGUGACGAAGCGUGAGUGACGGUAAUGGGUAAAGAAGCACCAGCUAACUACGUG